AAGAUUUUAAAGGUCGAACAGACCUAUAAAUCAAGCUACUACACCUAACUAUUAUCUUAAUCCAACAUCGAGGUCGCAAGCCUUCCUGUAAAUUUGAACUCUGAAGGAAGAUUACGCUGUUAUCCCUAAGGUAACUUAGUCUAAUAAUCAAUAAUAAUGGAUCUAAAAACCAUAAAUUAAUGUAUAAUAAAUAAUAAAAGUUAAUUAUAUAUCUCUUGUCACCCCAACAAAAAAGCCCAAAUAAUAGCCUAAAAAAUAAAAUAAAAACAGUUAAUACAAAUAAACCUUAAAGCUCUAUAGGGUCUUCUCGUCCUACAAAAAAAUUUGAGCCUUUUAACUCAAAGGUUAAAUUCAAUAAUAUUAAAUUGAGACAGAUGGUACUUCGUCAAACCCUUCAUUCCAGCCUUCUAUUAAAAGACUAAUGAUUAUGCUACCUUUGCACGGUCAAGAUACCGCGGCCGUUAAAAUAAAUUCACUGGGCAGGUAUGACUUC
rnacentral:rRNA from 1 species